AUUGAACGCUGGCGGCAGGCCUAACACAUGCAAGUCGAGCGGAGCGGCGGACGGGUGAGUAAUGCCUAGGAAUCUGCCUGUUAGUGGGGGAUAACGUCCGGAAACGGGCGCUAAUCCCGCAUCCUAUCAGAUGAGCCUAGGUCGGAUUAGCUAGUUGGUGGGGUAAAGGCCUACCAAGGCGACGAUCCGUAACUGGUGUGAGAGGAUGAGCAGUCAAACGGGAACGGAGAAACGGGCCAGAAUCCGACGGGAGGCAGCAGUGGGGAAUAUUGGACAAUGGGCGAAAGCCUGAUACAGACAUGCCGCGUGUGUGAAGAAGGUCUUCGGAUUGUAAAGCACUUUAAGUUGGGAGGCGUUACCAACAGAAUAAGCACCGGCUAACUUCGUGCCAGCAGCCGCGGUAAUUC
rnacentral:rRNA from 1 species